rnacentral:rRNA from 1 species
UACAACGAGAAGCGAACCUGCGAAGGCAAGCGGAUCUCUUAAAGCCGUUCUCAGUUCGGACUGUAGGCUGCAACUCGCCUACACGAAGCUGGAAUCGCUAGUAAUCGCGGAUCAGCACGCCGCGGUGAAUACGUUCCCGGGCCUUGUACACACCGCCCGUCACACCAUGGGAGUUUGUAACGCCCAAAGUCGGUGGCCUAACCUUUAUGGAGGGAGCCGCCUAAGGCGGGACAGAUGACUGGGGUGAAGUCGUAACAAGGUAUC